UGAAGUCCACAAGUCAUAAAAAGGCCGUUGUUCCCUACCCUUGCUCUAGAGCCAGCCAAUUUUCUGCAGUCUUAAUCUCGUGAAUUAACUAGCACAGUUUACAACAUACCGAAAACAGGCCACAUUUACUCGAAUGGUAUGGAAGAAUCUAGCCUAUAAUAUUCUUUAAAGCCUUAUUUUCAAUAUGCUUUCGCUUACAUUUUUGAAUGUUGGAGACCCCUGUUUUAGACUGUGCCGCAGAAAUUAACAGGGAGAAAAAUUAAUUUUAAAAAAUUAAUCUCUGAAAAGUACAGAUGAGACAUCCCCACCCCACAAAAUCUCAACACUUAUGGAUUCUCGACUAUGGGUAAGAAUAUCAAUAGCAAAACUAUAUAGCUACUAAGUUAGUGGUUAAAAAAAAAAAAGUAAAGGGUACGUACAAAAUAAUGUUCUUGCCAAGUGUUAUGUUCUUUUCCUCUACUUUCCAUCCAAAGGAGCUUGGAUAACAACCCAUUAAUUAGUUAUCAAUUAAAGAAAAUCGCGGCUAUAUCUAGUGCUACAAAUAGGAAAGUAAAUAUUUUAAAAAAUUAUAACACCCUCCCCGGCAUUUUAAGAGCUGGAAUAAUGUAUUCCUAAUUUUUUUUUCCUUUAAAAAAAAGUUUCCACUAGGACAGUGUUGGCAAACCUUUUCGGCAUCAAGUGCCGAAACGGGAGCGCACGUGUGUGCGUGGGGGAGCUCCGGAAACCGGAAGAGGAGCUCCCUGGCACGCCAGGAAGCUGAGCUUCUAGUUUCCAGCAUGCACAUGCGCACCAGUCACCUUGUCUUCUGGUUUCUGGCACACGUACGCACGCAAAAACCAGCUGGAUGGCGUGCAUGCGUGCACCAGAAACCGGAAGCUCAUCUUCCUGGCACGCACAUGCAUACCAGGGAGCUGCUCCUCCGGUUUACGGCACUCCGGUGCACACGGAGACCAGCUGGCCAGCACACGUGCUCGUCGGAAUCCAGAAGAGUAACAAGUGACGGCUGGUGUGCCCCGAGAGAUGGUUCGGUGCGUCACUUCCGGCACGCGUGCCAUAGGUUUGCCAUCACGGCACUAGGACCAACUAAAACUCUCUAAUAUAUUCUGCUUUAUGGUACUGUUUCUCCCCCCACAAUCUCUGUGUUGGCCUAGUUGCAGACAAUGCCUGCUAAAAGUUGUUGAAAAGAGCAAUUGAAUGUACUAAUCUGCAGCUACUUCUGGCAUUUCCUUUGGCUCUUUGUGCUGAGGGAGGGAGUGAAAAUUGCACCAUUAUUUUAGUCGAAACAAAGCUAAAUCCCAGGAUGAAUUCAUGGACAGCUCCUGGCUGUUUUCUUGGCAACUAUAUGGGAUAGUCUGCAUUGUCUUCUUUCAGGAUGGUUUCAUCAACUUCCCAGUCUAGACUGUCAUCCUGGUUGUCUCCCAUCCACGUACUACCCAAGCUCAAGUCUGCUUAGGGUUUUUUUUUUCAAGAUCAGCCAAGAUUUGAGCAGUGUGAGAAGUUUGGAUCAAAACAUAGUUUAUUCUUUGCACUGUUUCCAUCUUCCCUUAAAAUAUUAACAGAAUCCACAAUGAACUGAGAAUCAGUGUCUCCACUAGAUAGGUGACAGUCAAACUGAAACUAAGUUAAUCAAGUAAAAAUAGCAAAUGGGAGGGGGAAAAUAUAACUUCCUCAACCCCCUCUCCCCAAAUAAAUUAGCCAGACCUAAUCCACAUAUCAAAGGUUAAGGUCUGUAAACACAAAGAGAGUUAAUUAAAUUAGGUAUCCCAGCAGAACUGCAUGUCCACAAGAAUAAACAUCAUAGAUGACAUACGUACACACAGAUGCCCUUCAAGGGUCACCCUAGAAUCAGCACGUAGACACUUCCACAGCUAGGACAAGCCCCCCCCCCAAUAAAACUACCCAAUUUUUCUUCAGCUGCCCCAAAGACAAACUCUUUGCUUUUAUGAAUAAAUAUUUCUUCUUUCCUCACAGCUAUCUGGACCACAUUUUUAUUUAUUAUUUCUUAAUUUAUUUCUUCAAUUCUGGUUUAAAUUGGAACCCCAAAUUAUUCUUCUGACGGUAGUUGCGACCGCUUGAGGGGAGAUAGCUCGAUAACUGUGGACCAGUGUUUCUCAAAUGUGACUUUAAAAGGCAUGGACUUCAACUCCCAGAAUUCCUUAGUCAGCCAUGCUGGCUAGGGAAUUCUGGGAGUUGAAGUCCCUACAUCUCGAUGUCAAUUUUGAGAAACACUGCUGUGCACAAUGCUUCUUAAAUACCACUGGAGGAUUAGUAAGAAAAUAACUGCUUUUAUGUUGGAAGUGUGGAUAUCCAAAAAGGUACAACCUACAUUGCUUUUUUUUUACCAGCUUUAAUAUUUGUUUCUUCUGUGGAUAUUGUUUUUUUCUAGCAUUGCUGAAAACCACUUUGGAAAAAGCCACAGCAGCAUUUAAACACCUGCAAACAGCAACAUAGCAUCUGUUGGAAAUGUCUUACAUUAAGAAUUUCUUGAAUGUUGUAUAUAAAUUGUAUUUGAAAAACGCGCUUUGGAAAUAGUUUGUACAUUAUUUCCUGAUUUAUACUUGAUAUUUAGUGUUAAUAUUUCUAACUGUUAAUAACAAGAUAACUUAACGUGUGGUGAUUUUUAUGUAUUGAUGUGAAAACGAGGCAAUGCCAGCAUUUUAACAGUUUCAUUACUUACUUGUACCAUAUUUUCUGUUUUGUAAUACAGAAUGUUAAAAUACACUUUUAAGUUUAAAAGACUGGAUUGUGAAGCCAAGUCACGGCACUUUUUCGUAUGACGGAAAGACUUUUAAAAGGACUGGUGUAAUCAUAUUUGUAGUCUUUGUCUUUGUUUUGGUUUUUUUUAAUUGCAGAUUUAAUGAAAAUGAUACAUAAACUACGUUCUAUUUAUAAUCGGGAAAUAUUUCAAGUAAAGAUCAUUGCAUGAGAAAAAA